ACCAAGUGGGUCUAACUUAUUUCCCACUCCUGGACAUGGGCUUAAACUUUUAAAGCUUUUUUUAUUUAUCGUUCGUUAUACUUUUUUUCCCUUCACUUUCCCCUCAUUGGAUAGAUUUAGGGUUUGGAUUAGGGUUACCUUUGUUAAAGAAAAAUAAAGGUAGGAGAGAAAAAGUCCUAAUUAGCCAAAUAGCUCUCUACUCUGGUCUUUCCCAUUUGUUUUGUCUUCUCUUUUGCAUGGGGAUAGUGAGAUGAUGAUGGUUGCGAAGAUCUAAAAGAAAUUAACGAAACCAGUCACUGUUUGCCUAUGGAGCAUCAUCAAGAUUCACAAGCAUUAUUAGGGCUAGUGUGUGGUGAUGAUGGUGGCUUUUGGUGGUCCCUUUUUUUCAAUCCAAUAGCCCUUUGAAUUGGGAAUCUUGAUGAUGCUGCAGCGGCAAUAAAUGGCUUAUUUAUCUCCUUUUCUCCAACUUUACCGGCUCCCAAAGAUGAAGGUGAUUUUUUGGUGCUGUCACCACCACUUGAUCUGAUCUUAUUAAGGAUGUCUGUACUUCGGUAUGAACCUGUACAUCGUUAGACAUCGUGGGCCUCUUUUAUUUCUUGGAUACAUGGAGGUUCUUUUGUUCUCUCUAUAUAUGUUUCUUCUCUUAUCGUCCUUUCUUUAGAUCUUGAUCAUCAUUCCCAGCUGUGUAUAAUAUGUGCAAGUGUUCAGAUUACUGACAAAGCUUUUAAUUAUUCCCGGGAUAUGAUGUGCUUGAAUACACCAAGUCACACAUACAAUCAUUUUGUUGCUCUUUUGUACAUGUAGAUUUUUAGAGUUUUGAUUGUUCCGUUGCCUCUUCAUGGAAAUCUUUAGCUUGGUGACGGGAUUUUCGUAUUUUGCCUUUCAGUUUCUCAUCAGCAAUAUUGUAGGUGUACAUUUGAGCAUUAAAAGAAGGAAUUACCGUGUGUUCUUCUAACCAUAUUCUUGGAAACUAUGUUUUGUUUUUUCAGGUUCAGGGAAGAUCUUCUGAUUUCUCAAAAUUUCGGGAUAAUAGCUUGUGCCUAGCUUGAUAGGCUACUUGGUGUAUAAUAAUACACCCAUACGCGUUUAAUUAACUGAGUUUUUACCAGGUAAAGUGAUUUCCAAGUCAUCGUAAGAAACCUGUGCUAUAUGAUGAUCAAUCUUGAAAGGAACCAUGUUAUUGUGUGCAGUGAAGUGCUUUGGCUGCAGAAUGUUUGAGUGAUGGUCAAUAUCUCAAGAUCACUCUUUUAAACUCAUGAUCAUCUAGUUGAACGCCUAGUGACACUUGAAUUCGCGCGUUGACUUCAUUUAUAACAAGGGUUUGGAUUGAGCCUGCUGUGUUAUCUGAAAGAAUAAACAACAAAAUUAGUAAACCCUAAUAUUUAGCUGAAGUUUUGUAAUUUGCGUGAGAUUCAAGUCAAAUGAUGUUAUUUGCAAUGUUUACCUUCAUAAGAUGAAUUUCUUGUUCU